GGGAGGCAGCAGAGGGGAAUUUUGCGCAAUGGGCGGAAGCCUGACGCAGCAACGCCGCGUGCGGGAUGAAGGCCUUCGGGUUGUAAACCGCUUUCAGCAGGGAUGAAACUGACAGUACCUGCAGAAGAAGCCCCGGCUAACUACGUGCCAGCAGCCGCGGUAAUACGUAGGGGGCGAGCGUUAUCCGGAUUCAUUGGGCGUAAAGCGCGCGUAGGCGGCUUGUUAAGCGAGAUGUGAAAUCCGGGGGCUUAACCCGCGGCUUGCAUCUCGAACUGGCAGGCUUGAGUCUGGUAGAGGAGUGUGGAAUUCCCAGUGUAGCGGUGAAAUGCGCAGAUAUUGGGAGGAACACCAGUGGCGAAGGCGGCACUCUGGGCCACGACUGACGCUGAGGCGCGAAAGCUAGGGGAGCGAACAGGAUUAGAUACCCGUGUAGUCCC
rnacentral:rRNA from 1 species